UGCUGUGAGGGCCCGUCCGACUCGGCCGGACAGGUCUCGGCUCGCUGUGGGGAGCGCGUCGCUCUUAGCAGGGCAGGAGAGCCCUCAAGUUUCGACGAGUGCUCUCGGCGUGUUUGCCGUGGAAGCCGCUGAGUGAGCUCCCACCUGCACACUUGGGGAGGGAAACUUGAAAAGCUUGAGAGGGAGAGAGGUGAGGGAGUGAGGCAGCACACUCUGAACAUGACGUGAUGGACUGCAGCUUAUUCAGGGGAAGGGUAUGGCCUGCUCUGCAGGACUGUCACCAAGAUAGUGAUCUUUGUCAAGAAGAGAGACCCUAAGAUCUGGAAAAAUAUCCAUCUGUGAUGCCUCCAUCCAUUUUUCAGAGUUGGAUCCCAGUGACUCAACUGAGCCAAUCAUUGGCAGGACCCCUGUUUACAGAGACAACCUGGAGAUGGUGGAGGUCCAAGAACUAAGCUGGAGGAGAAGAAAACAUGCUUAGAUAAUGUGCUACACACUGGUGGGAGUGAUGGAGGAGAGAGCUGAGCGGAGAAAAGACAGCUCAGUUUGGACACAUCUCUGAGGAGCCAGAGCAGAGCUGCCUGCAUUGGAAAAGGGUGUGAUGUCUGCAGCACAGGUACUCUUGACCAGACUGCUUGUCAGCCAACAGCCUUCCUGACAGUUGUGACACUCCUGGGAAGAAACCCUACUGGCUGCCUCUGCUGGUUCCUGCUCCAGCCCUGCUCUCAUCCCUGAUGUGACCACUCUCUUGAAUCCAUGCUGGAACUGAGGUGACCUGCAUUCAUGGGCAUCUUCAUGCAACCGCACAGGCAGAUAGAUCUCCAUGGCCUUCAUGCCCAAGUGGACUGAAAUCCAACAUCUCCCAUGUACGCUUCUACCCCGUCUUCAGCGACGUAACUUGUAUUCCUGAAGUUGUCUAUCUCAGAGGUAUUUUCUGUACAGCAGACAUUUUCUUUUUUAGACAGGCUAAAAAGCCUUCAUCAGUUUUCUUUACAGGGUUAUGUGAGACAUCAGUUUUGUUUUCACACUGAUUAAAUAUCCAAAGUCUCCUUGAAUGGGGAUGAACCCCAGCAGUCCAUGUGGACCAAAAUUCAUCAGCCUACUCUGUCCACCCCAUCCACACAACAUACCCAAACCCCUCACCUUGCCAGAGUUUCAGGACUGCUUCAGAGGGGAGUCAAGAUCCAGAGCAGCUUGCCAGACCUGGGGUUUCUUUCCCAAAAUGUCCCCCCUUAUGGCACAACAGAUAUAAGGGGUCUGGUCUCCCAGGCCUGCUGAGAAAGAGUUGGGAGGUGCCAGGGAGACUCCAGCUACACCAUAGGAGAUUCAGAGCUUGUUUCUGGACCAGGGAGUCUUCAGUGGCCAGGCCUAAAAAUGCUGACACUUUUACAUUGAUAAAGUAAGUGCAGGAAUAUCUCUGCAUUUCAGGUGCAGGGCUGUGUGUAAGAAUAAGGUCCCUGUUUGCAAAUGAAUGUGACAGAGGAUCAUGUAAUCAGACCUGGCUGGAGGACCAGGAAGAGGCAGCUACAACCCAGGCUGGUGUAGAGCAGGAAGUGCAGAGGGAGUAAGCAGUGAGGCAGGAGAGAGGUUUUUUGACAUCUUAAACCCAAAUGCAAACACUGUGAGAGGAAUGGGAAUGCAAGAAAGUGAUCAGCCCAUGUGUUCCCUAGGCAUAGAGAACCAGGACACUAAACAGUCUUAUAAUGCUGAGUAAAAUACGCUCAGAUCUGGCUGAAAUGGUCACCAGCCAGAGUGAUCAGAGCUCAGUACAUCAAUACUCCCAAGGGAAAUCCACCACCUCCCCACCACUGUGGGGUGUCCCCAGGGUCACCUCUCGCUGGGCCAUACACAUCCUUGUAUGAGGGGUCAAACCAGCUUCCUAAUGGUGCCCUUCACUUUUGUUAACAAUGCUGGAAUGUGAGGAGAGCAGAGAGAUCUGUCUGCUCCACAGGGAUGCUCCCAUGCCUGCUUCUGCACCCUCCCACUCCUGAAAGCUUGGCCCAGCCAAUAUAUCUGUGCUGAUCUGCCUUUGCAGACAGUUUGUCCCAUGCAUUUUUAGCUGGUUACUCUGAAAGUCUGAAAAACAGGAAAAACUGGUCUUAGUGUUAUCUCUUUUGGAGACAGCCACUUCCUUGUGGUAUCAAACUUGGAAGAACCCCAUAGCCACUGCUGAAAAGCUUUUUCCCUUUCCACAUUUAAAGAUCUUUUCCAAAAGCGGUUGCUAGGAUGUCCUUGGUGGGGAUUGAAAGGCUUGGAACAAGCCAAUGCAAGUGUUAGUUUUAUUGAAAAUGAGCAGGAUGUUCUUCCCUGAUAGCUGCCUGGCUUUGAGGGCCAGGAUCACAGGAAAGCAACCACAGCUCCAGGGAAGCUUAGCAGAGGAGGAAAAUAAUGGCUUUUUCUGUGCUGCAUGGUAAUACAAAGGCAGGAAACCAAAGAAUAGGAUUCACCUGGUGUGGAGCAAAGCCUGCCAUCCAAAACAGCACUGUCCUGGCUCAGCUGGAUGUAUGUGGAGGCUCCCAGGUGCCUCCCUGGUCUCCAGCUUAGCUGAGCCAGCUGUGCCCAUCCCACAUCCCUGCUGCUGGCAGCCACAGCUGGGGAGGAGCAGGCACUUCUCAACACACCAUGCUCCACCCCACAAUCUGCUUUGGGAGAGAACUGUGAGCAGAUUUGGUAUACUGGAAAGCAGUUAUACAGGCAUUAUAUUUAUUUUUUCAGGGACAGAAUGAAAACUUCAAAUUCCCAAGUCUUUAGGACAGCACUUUUCAACCAUAAUAGGUAUACAUAGACAUAGAAGCCAGGCACAGUAUAAGGUUUUCUUUCCCUUUCAAGCAUCCCGUCUCUUCCUGGGACUCCCUCACUAGCAUACAAGGCUGGGCCUGAGAAAUUGCAAGUCUAGUCCGUUGGAGCUGGAUUUUGAAACAAAGAGUUGCCGAAACAGUACUACCAGCAUGGCUCUACAAGGCAAACCCUUCCAGAAUGGUUUACUUUCACAAAGUAGUGUUUUCACCAGUCUGGUUCUAAACAGUUUUCUGAACAUAAUGAAAUUCCAAGGACUCCUUUGCUAGAUAACCUUGGCAGAUUAGUGUCCUUUCUUAGUAGGGAGGGAGCAGACAGAAUUCACAUGCCAAAACCCAAAACUCUAUGGGAAAACUCCUGUUGAGUGCAAACUGAGUCUCAGUUUGUCAGUGUUUGAGAAUGUACUUUGUAGAUGUCUUGAAGUCCUCAGACUAAAGAUGUGAAUGAGGGCAGGGCAUUACUGGUAGAUAAUGUGAUCCUUGCUUCAAACCUGCUUCUGCUGCUUUACAGGUCUCCAUAUCUUUAACAGAGAGAGUUAGAGCAAGGACGAAAAUGCUGAACCUCUCCCAGCUCUGGUAGUUGUGGAGAAGUGACCUAGGGACUUUGAGCACCAGCCUCUGUUAGCCGUAAAUACAAACCACUGAAAAGCACCAGAACUUUCCCACUGAAGUAAAGACAUUGGGAACAGGAGAUUAAUGGGUUGCCAGCUGUGUUGGCAUGAUAAGCCAAACAAGAACCCAGACUCUUUUGGUCGAAAAUGGAUUGAGACCUCGGCAGGGGCACAUGGCAAAUCAGCCAGAAGCCACACAUGGAAAACUGAGCAAGGCAGCAUGGGCAAACAUUCCUUAUCUUUGCUUUACGUCAAUAGAAAUGGCAUUGUAAAAGAGGCAGCAAAGUAUUUGCUGGAGAGGAGAAGGGAAAAGUCCACAAGCUUUCUUGGUAUGUAAAAAAAAACAACAUGUAGGUUUUAAACUGCUACUGUUUUCCUCGGAAACUUGUCAUUGAAAACAAGCAUCCAGCAAAAACCACCCAGCAAGUUCUUCCAGAAUGCUUGUUUGCUUGUUUUGGUGGAUUUAGCUGAGCUGUGCUGGCAGGAAUAUGCCUGCCACUGCUGUUGUGCUCCAAAGGCGGUCAGGAAAGUAUGACCUCUUAAACCACUCUAAAGCACAGCUGUGAUAAUUACACCAUCUACUAUGAUUUGCCACAAAAUAGGACUCAGGGGAGUGGCAGACCUCAGAGGUCUGGGUUUUCUACAAGGUGAUGUUGUCUGCAGCCAUGUCCCUGUUUCCCACAGCUCCUGCUUUUACACUUUUACAGCAGCCUAGCCCAAUUACCUUCACUGGCCUUUUCUUUGCUUUCUGGUUUUAUUGUUUUUGUUAAGGCUAAUUAACAGAGGAGUGGAUGAGUCCCAGAUUUCUUGUGUGGAUUUUUUUUUUUUUUUGUAGUGGUGGUACUUUUAAUUUUGCUGAGUUUUCCUUUUGUUUUUAAGCAAUUGUAUGUUAGAAAAUAAUCUUUCCUACCAGAGGCAAUACUGAAAGAAGAAGACUCAGCAAGGAGAAUAACAAUUAAGGUAAAGCCAUGGUUUUUCCUCCUCCUCCCUCAGUUUUGCAACCCCACCCUGAGUGGGUAAUGGGCCCUGACUGCAACUCUGCUGUCAGUGCCCUGGAGCAGGGAAAGGCACAAAUAUUCCCUCCACACAGGUGUGCAGGUGUCAGUGGGAGGUGAGCUGGGAGAAAAAACAGGCUGGAAUAAACACAGCUGAAGUCUCACAACCUGGAUCCAUAUGGCCCCUGGAUCCAUCCCUGCCUUGCAGAGCCUCGGGCUGGCCGCUGGCCUGAGCAAAGCUCAUUGCUGUGUUAUUGGUAGGGCUGGGCUCACUGCAGCUGGGUGUCUUAGGGCAGGGCCACCCACUGCACACCAGUGGGGAGCUGCAAAUUGCCACUCCAGCUGCACAGGGCUCUGCAGGGACUUUAGCUGAGUGCCUGGGAGCUGGCUCUGGAAACAUGAAGGUGCUCUGUCAAAAGGUCCAGUUGUUCAGGUAUCAAAGUAAAGAUAUCACUCAUAAAAAUAAUCUCAAAAUAGUAUUGUUGGCAAAUCAGUGCAUUUUCCUAUAAUGCCAUAAUUAAUGAACACAGAUUCUCUGUAUUUGCAGUCCCUGACACCAUAUUGAUGGACAUCAUUCAGGAACAGAUACAGAUGACCCAGUAGCUGAGUGCCUGAGCAACUCCCUCUUAUCAUACGCAUGGAGAAAAUGAAUGGAAAAAUUGGAAUGGAGAAAAUGGAAAAUCCAUGGUGCUGAACUGCUUUCUGUUUUUCUCAGGAGAGGAACUUCAGGCAAUGUGUCUGUAAAGCACUGAGCAGCUUCCACUCUUCCUGACCCCACCAAUUUCCUCUGCACAAACGAUCCAUAUGGAUUUGACAUGUGGCCUCUGAGAGGCCCUGAGGCCUCAUAUGUCUCAGUAAGUCAAAACGCAUGGGGCAGAGAAGCCAUGUCCCUGCCUAAGCUUCUGCAAGUCCCUCAGGGUCAAGUUAAGUGCAAACCUGAUCCUGUUCUCUGAACCAGGCUUGCCUGAUGCACACUUUAAUCUGCCCAGCCUCACCAGGCUGGGUUUCAUCUCAGCUGCAGAGCUCAAAAGGAGGUGGCCCCUGUUUUGCCCCAUGGGGUCCUGGGCAGCUCAGCAUCCCCACCAGACCAGGGGCACAUCUCCAUGGCUGGCCCACCCUCACCAGCUUCAAGCCCUGGGUCUGGGGCAGGAGUUCGAGAAACAAGAGGGCUGUGGGACUUGAGGGCUUCUCUGGAGUCAUGUACCCCUUUUAGUGUUUCUGUGAGUCUGCUUCUGCCCUCAGACCCAGGGGCUUAACAGUAUUUCCCUGCUCCGCAGGGAUGCCAGGGUGAGUCAAUCCAUUAAAAUCUGCACACUGCUGAGACACCAAGCCUACAGCUACAUAGAAUAAUAAAACAGUCCAGGGAGUGUUUUCCACUCCCAAGACCCACUGGCAUUCCCAGCCAUCCCCAGGGAGACAAGCUCCUGUCCCCCAGAGCAGGAGAGCUGUGCCCAAGCCACUUGCUGAGAACCACCCCGGCUCCUGAAACAUGCCUGGAGUAUUUCCUUGGUCUGGGACAAACUCCUGCAAGGACAAUGCCAACCAUUUAACUGUAUAGGCAACUGCCUGGGCCUGUGCCUUGCUUCCUGUUUAUUAAUUUAUUAGUACCUUGCUGCUAGCCUACACUUGUACAGACAGAGAGCUUGCCAUGAAAAAGGACAAUAAAGUGCCUGUGAGGGGAAAGUUCAAGGCAUUAUA